rnacentral:rRNA from 1 species
GAACCUUACCGAGGUCUUGACAUCCCUGACAACCCGAGAGAUCGGGCGUUCCCCCUUCGGGGGGACAGGGUGACAGGUGGUGCAUGGUUGUCGUCAGCUCGUGUCGUGAGAUGUUGGGUUAAGUCCCGCAACGAGCGCAACCCUCGACCUUAGUUGCCAGCAUUCAGUUGGGCACUCUAAGGUGACUGCCGGCUAAAAGUCGGAGGAAGGUGGGGAUGACGUCAAAUCAUCAUGCCCCUUAUGACCUGGGCUACACACGUGCUACAAUGGGCGGUACAAAGGGUCGCGAACCCGCGAGGGGGAGCCAAUCCCAAAAAGCCGCUCUCAGUUCGGAUUGCAGGCUGCAACUCGCCUGCAUGAAGCCGGAAUCGCUAGUAAUCGCGGAUCAGCAUGCCGCGGUGAAUACGUUCCCGGGCCUU